rnacentral:rRNA from 1 species
UAACGCGUGGGAAUCUGCCUAUCAGUGGGGAAUAACGACGGGAAACUGUCGCUAAUACCGCAUACGCCCUUAGGGGGAAAGAUUUAUCGCUGAUAGAUGAGCCCGCGUACGAUUAGCUAGUUGGUGAGGUAAUGGCUCACCAAGGCUACGAUCGUUAGCUGGUUUGAGAGGAUGGUCAGCCCCACUGGGACUGAGACACGGCCCAGACUCCUACGGGAGGCAGCAGUGGGGAAUAUUGGACAAUGGGCGAAAGCCUGAUCCAGCAAUGCCGCGUGAGUGAUGAAGGCCUUAGGGUUU